CUACGGGUUGCUGCAGUGAGGAAUAUUGGACAAUGGUCGAAAGACUGAUCCAGCCAUGCCGCGUGCAGGAUGAAUGCCCUAUGGGUUGUAAACUGCUUUUAUACGGGAAGAACACCACCUACGUGUAGGUGACUGACGGUACCGUAAGAAUAAGGACCGGCUAACUCCGUGCCAGCAGCCGCGGUAAUACGGAGGGUCCAAGCGUUAUCCGGAAUCAUUGGGUUUAAAGGGUCCGUAGGCGGGCUAUUAAGUCAGAGGUGAAAGUUUGCAGCUCAACUGUAAAAUUGCCUUUGAUACUGAUAGUCUUGAAUUGUAGUGAAGUGGUUAGAAGAUGUGGUGUAGCGGUGAAAUGCAUAGAUAUCACAUAGAAUACCGAUUGCGAAGGCAGAUCACUAACUAUAUAUUGACGCUGAGGGACGAAAGCGUGGGGAGCGAACGGGAUUAGAUACCCCCGUAGUC
rnacentral:rRNA from 1 species